AAGAACCCCGGCGAGGGGAGUGAAAAAGAACCUGAAACCGUGUACGUACAAGCAGUGGGAGCACCCUUUGGGGUGUGACUGCGUACCUUUUGUAUAAUGGGUCAGCGACUUAUAUUCUGUAGCAAGGUUAACCGCAUAGGGGAGCCGGAGGGAAACCGAGUCUUAAUUGGGCGUUAAGUUGCAGGGUAUAGACCCGAAACCCGGUGAUCUAGCCAUGGGCAGGUUGAAGGUUGGGUAACACUAACUGGAGGACCGAACCGACUAAUGUUGAAAAAUUAGCGGAUGACCUGUGGCUGGGGGUGAAAGGCCAAUCAAACCGGGAGAUAGCUGGUUCUCCCCGAAAGCUAUUUAGGUAGCGCCUCGUGAAUUCAUCUCCGGGGGUAGAGCACUGUUUCGGCUAGGGGGCCAUCCCGGCUUACCAACCCGAUGCAAACUGCGAAUACCGGAGAAUGUUAUCACGGGAGACACACGGCGGGUGCUAACGUCCGUCGUGAAGAGGGAAACAACCCAGACCGCCAGCUAAGGUCCCAAAGUCAUGGUUAAGUGGGAAACGAUGUGGGAAGGCCCAGACAGCCAGGAUGUUGGCUUAGAAGCAGCCAUCAUUUAAAGAAAGCGUAAUAGCUCACUGGUCGAGUCGGCCUGCGCGGAAGAUGUAACGGGGCUAAACCAUG
rnacentral:rRNA from 1 species